UUUUUCUAUAUUCUUGCUAAUGUUUCUGGUAAUAAAAGACAGGAAAAACAUAAAAAUGCAAACUGGGUAUUUGUGAUGUCUCAUCAAACUGGCUUCCUAUCAAGUAGGAUUCUUCCAGAUUUCCCUAACAUUUGAGCUGUGAAGCAGCUUGAGUGAAAGCCAAGCUUCAGAAUAGUGGGGAUAGUUCGACUGGACCAAAAAUGUGUUUGUCCAGCUGAAACUAGAGAUUGGGAGCAAACCCAAGUGAUAAAGUCAUUAUGGAGACUGAUUGCGAUGCUUUUUCCAGUUGGAACAAGUGAAAUGGCAGAAAACAGAGUAAACACGUGCCAGUUCAUGGUCCAUGAGGGGUGUUCUUCCUUUGCUGAUAAGACCCCAAGAGACAGAACUGCCCAAGAACCAGCCAUUUGUCCGGAGCAAAGAGUCAGUGAAGAAAGGCCGCACUGUGGGGAGCUGACCUCUGACUCUGGAGCAGCGCUCCAGUGGAGGUUCCUGCACUCUCCUGGAGGUAAACCUUCUGC
rnacentral:lncRNA from 1 species